UCCGACCGUUUUCAUCCCAUCCUCCCCAGCUCCCCAGCUCCCCGCCGCCCGCCGCCCUCGCCCUCCUCUCCUGCUCCCCGCCGCCGCAGCCCCUCUCCUCCUCGGCUACCCUCCCCUCCCCUCACCCCUCCGCGCGGCACGGGCCGACGUGGAUCCGGCGAGUCGCGGCCUACCUCCCGUGGCUGCUUGUCGGUGAGCGCGUUCUCGAAGGCCUCCUCCUCCUCCUCCUGUUGCUGCUGCUGCUGCUGCUGCUCCGCCCUCAGCACCUCCCCGCCGGCCGCGGACCCCGCUUGUUCGAGAGCCGAAGGCGUCGAGGCUCGCGCAGCCUUCCCGGCGGUGCUCUCCUCCUCCUCCGCCCUCGGCGCCUCCCCGCCGGUCGCGGCCCCGCUGCUCCUCGGGCAUCGGCGGCGAUGAGGCUCGCGCUGCCUCCCCGGCGGUGCUCUCCUCCUCGGGAACCGGCGGGAAGGGCGCGGCUCCGGCUUCGACUCGGCGCUGUGCCCCUGCAACUGGGCCGCUCGCGCCGCCGCCACGCUAGGCGAGCGCAAGCGUGAGCGUGGCAGCGCCGGGUGCCGGCACCAUGGAGGAGGGUCUACGCCGAGGUCCGCACGCUAGGCACCCUGUCCGCGCGCCGCGCCCCCGUGAGGGGCGCGUCGCCUCGAGACCCCGCUCGUCGCACUCUCAACCUCGUCGCUGGAUGGCUCGUGCUCUUUGACGGCGGCUGCAAGGGAGAAAAACUGCUUUCCUGCUUCCCUAGCCGGCUUUUGUGGACCCUUCAUCUCGGGCAAGAAGAGUCUGAUGCAUGGGAUCUGCGGUCUCCAUGGACCUCCGCCUGCAAACUAUGUAGCAUGGUGAUUAACUUUUGGUUUCAGUUAGUAUUCAAAGCUACUUGCUAGGUUGUUUGGUAGCUAUGCAUACUUGUGUUGCAUGUAGAUAUACAGUGCUCAGAUGUGCUGUAAUAUUGAUGCUCCAAAUUCCGGACAGACACCUAAUGAUAAGAUAAAUUGGGUCCUCGGAUGUAACCAUGGUGAUCGGAUGUAUACUGUGAUGUUGAUGAUUGAGAUGCCAGAUAGACACCUGAUGGAUAAGAUAGUUCGGUGCUCGGAUGUAUGUUUAUUAUUUAGACACCUGAUGGCUAGGAUAGCAUGAUGCUCGGAUGUGCUGUAAUAUCUAUGAUUCAAAUGCCGGAUAGACACUUAUGUUAGCAUGAUGUGCCUGUUACCUGAUGUGGUGGUUUCGUAUUGAAUUCAUCUUAUACUAUAUGUAUAAUAUAAUUGUCACUUUUUAUUGUCU